AUGGGUGCCAAAGAUGGCACUCAGAGACCUCUCUGUGGGCGUGUGCAUCGUUGUCUGCCAGAGUUAGUUACUAGAAAGGCAGAGGGACUUGGGUGGAACUGUUUCCUUUCCCCUCUCCAUGGCACCUUCCUACCCCUCUGCCCAGCAGCCCAAUGGAAGCACCUCUCCCUCCUUGUCUGUGGCAUCAAGAUCUGAUUUGUCGUGGUGUGUCACCUGGUGAAUACUGAAUUCCUCUUCUGUCUCAGGGGACCCAUGUAAGUAACAGUAAAAUGAUUAAAUAGUUGCAGUGGAGGUAGCACAGGAAAGGAAGAGAAGGGGGAGAGGGGAAGGGGAAGGAAGAGGAGGCUGCCUGAAUUUUGGAAGUCUAGCUGCAGUCAAUGUGGUACAAUAGUGGAGAGUGGUGGCCAGUACAGUUUUUGUGGAGAAAGGCUAACUGACAGUCAAAUGGAUAGAACAACUGAAUGAUUAGGAGAAUGGAGGAGGAAUGAGAGCUAUCAGGUUAUAACUAUUAAUGACUAGGCAUAAGAGACUAUUCCACCAGAAAACUAACAAAUUGCCACUGCCGAAUAUUAUUAGUGAUACUAAAUCCCCAGGUUUGAACCCUUGGGACAAUGUUUCUGUGGUCUAGGUCACUAGUAAGUAGGAUAUUCAUAACAUGAAGUCUCUUUUAGGGCUCUAAAUGUAGGGCAUGGGAUGUGAUAAUUCAGGAGAAACAAAGUUCCUUGAUUGGGAAGUGGGAAGAUCUGGGGCAGGCAUGCACAUGCACACACACUUAUGAGGCUUGAUAACUGAGCAUACUGAAGAGUACGAUAAAGGGCAGAUAGGUGUCUCAGGGGUGGAAAGCCAGGCCUGGAGAUGUUAGGUCUGGGUUAAAUCAGGCCUAGGACUAGUAGUUCCUAGUGGUAUGACUAGGA
rnacentral:lncRNA from 1 species